rnacentral:rRNA from 1 species
AUUGAACGCUGGCGGCAGGCUUAACACAUGCAAGUCGAGCGAGCGGCGGACGGGUGAGUAAUGUCUGGGAACCUGCCUGUUGGAGGGGGAUAACUACUGGAAACGGUAGCUAAUACCGCAUACCAUCAGAUGUGCCCAGAUGGGUUUAGCUAGUAGGUGGGGUAAGGGCUCACCUGGGCGACGAUCCCUAGCUGGUCUGAGAGGAUGACCAGCAACACUGGAACUGGGAAACGGGCCAGACUCCUACGGGAGGAGGCAGUGGGGAAUAUUGCAAAAGGGGCGCAAGCCGGAUGCAGACAGGCCGCGGAUGUGAAGAAGGCUUUCGGGUGGUAAAGCAAUUUGAGCGAGGAGGCGUUAAUUGCAGAAGAAGCACCGGCUAACUCCGUGCCAGCAGCCGCGGUAAUAC